rnacentral:rRNA from 1 species
CCUCCGUGUAGGUACCUGCGGAAGGAUCAUUACCGAGUGCGGGCCCUCGCGGCCCAACCUCCCACCCGUGUCUCUCUCUACCUGUUGCUUUGGCGGGCCCACCGGGGCCACCCGGUCGCCGGGGGACGUCCGUCUCCGGGCCCGCGCCCGCCGAAGCGCCCUGUGAACCCUGAUGAAGAUGGGCUGUCUGAGUCGCAUGAAAAUUGUCAAAACUUUCAACAAUGGAUCUCUUGGUUCCGGCAUCGAUGAAGAACGCAGCGAAAUGCGAUAAGUAAUGUGAAUUGCAGAAUUCCGUGAAUCAUCGAAUCUUUGAACGCACAUUGCGCCCCCUGGCAUUCCGGGGGGCAUGCCUGUCCGAGCGUCAUUUCUGCCCUCAAGCGCGGCUUGUGUGUUGGGCGUGGUCCCCCCGGGGACCUGCCCGAAAGGCAGCGGCGACGUCCGUCCGGUCCUCGAGCGUAUGGGGCUCUGUCACUCGCUCGGGACGGAUCGGCGGAGGUUGGUCACCACCACAGUUUUACCACGGUUGACCUCGGAUCAGGUAGGAGUUUUACCCGCUGAACUUAAGCAUAUCAUAAGGCGGGGAAGGAA